UACGGAGGGGGCUAGCGUUGUUCGGAAUUACUGGGCGUAAAGCGCACGUAGGCGGCUUCGCAAGUCAGGGGUGAAAGCCCUGGGCUUAACCCCGGAACUGCCUUUGAGACUGCGUCGCUUGAAUCCGGGAGAGGCGGGUGGAAUUCCUAGUGUAGAGGUGAAAUUCGUAGAUAUUUGGAAGAACACCAGUGGCGAAGGCGGCCCGCUGGACCGGUAUUGACGCUGAGGUGCGAAAGCGUGGGGAGCAAACAGG
rnacentral:rRNA from 1 species